GGCUUGCUUGAACAGAAAUGCUGCAUAUGUAACUCUAUCUUAACCUUCCUACAUAAGUAUACAUGCAUGAAACUAAAAUACAAAGGGAAUUUUUUUUUUUAUUGUCUAAAAUGCACUAUAGUAGAUAAUUUUCUUUUUUUGUUUAUAAUCUCAACUUACUAAUUAGAAUAAUUAGAUGAAUUUGAUCUAUCAAUCCCUUAAAACUUAGGGAAUAUUUGGUACGUGGUUAAUAAGAGAUAAUUUUCUGUUAAUAAUAAAGAGAAUUUCAUCAGUAAAAAACAUUACCAAUGGAUCACCAAACAACACAAUUAAACUGGUCUAAUUUGCUUGUGGCUAAUAUUUACUAACCACGUUUCUCAACCGUAAGUAAUUUUUCAACCGAAUGUUCAUCGCUAAAUUGGUAAACUUGACGUCAAUUCUUACGUUGGCUAAUCAUGAAUGUGGCAACUUUUUUACGGAGUCCUGACUGUUGUUAAUUACGGACUGAAUUAUUACCAUCGGUAAUUUUUGACAAAUCAAAAGGCAUCGGUUUUAUUGGCAAUUAAUUAUAUAACCUUAUAGGAUGGUAAGGAGAAAUUAUAUAGUACCUGCUAUUCCAUGUUAGCAUUUAAACAUGGAAUGACAACCUAAUAAUCAAAUAUCCUAUAAGCAAUUACAGUUAUUUAAAAAAAAAACUACUAAUUAUUUAUUAUUUUUUGGUAGAAUAAAAAAAUCAUAUUACUAUAAUGCAUAAUAAUUUUCAAUAGCUAAAUCAAAUAAUGGAUUAUUAGGCACGCAUUAAGCAAAUUAUUUUUGGUAUGAAAAAUGAGAAUCCCAAAUUGUGAGUGGAAACUAAUGUGUCUAUCAAACACAUGGAGUGAAUGGUCAAUCAAAGACAUGUAUUGAAAGGUAAAUCUUGUCUCAUAUUGAGGGUAUGGCUCGUACCCUCUUACCGCCACACUAGACAACUCCAACACGUUAAUGUCCAUUUGGAAAUAGUUUCUGUAACUCAUCACAAUAGCUUUUUGUUUGACAGGUAAUUCAGAAAAUGGUUUUCUUGUGAAAUCAGAUCACAUGAAAAGUCAAUACAUAUCACCCAACUUGCAUUUCUUGUUUUUCGGCCUUAACUGUUAAGCAAUUACGGAUAAUACGACUUGUAUUUUGACAAUCUACGGCCAUGACGUGAGACAAAACCUUACUGCUACACAACUUUGCCAACUCUAAUGUUAAUUAAUAACUUGAGGAUGUAAUUACGUCUAAGACUUCCCAAUUAAUUAAUAACAUAUGAGCCCUAGUUUACCAAGAAUUUUUUUUUUUUUUUAAUUUGAGCCUUAUAUAUAGGUGUAUGCAUGGCACUAUAAAACAAUUAAAUCUGGACCUUAGGAACUGCAUAUAAAGUCCUACCAAGAUUGCAUACAAAAAAUGUACUAUUGAGACAAUAGAAUAAUAUUCAUUAAAAGAAAAGCAUAUUCUUUGGCUCAAAUUUACCUAUCAUCCUUCACUGAUUAGCCUUUAUUCUAAUAAGGAAAAGCUUGUUUCCUCCUUGAGAAACAUUGAUUAAUGAUUGAUUAGGAUAAAAUUAAAUAAAACAAAUUUAACUAAUUGGCAAACAAAAAUUUAACUUAUUGAAACCCCUCCAUUUUUUAAAAAAUAUCAACACAUUUAUUAAAAGUAAAUAAAUUCUUAUAAUAAGAUUUUUUUUUUCUUUUUACUCAUUCAAAAUGCUUAAAAAGAGAAAAAAUUUAGAUUUUAAUCCAAUUUUUUUGCUACAAUUUAAUUAUAAUUAACUCAACUCCCUGCCUAGUGAGAUUAUGAAAAUUAAGUAGCCAGAAAUUCGGGAAUUAUAACAUACCUGCUAUCUUUAGCAAUGAACCCU
rnacentral:misc_RNA from 1 species